rnacentral:ncRNA from 1 species
UAAAGCCAAGGGCAAACCCAUCAAAAGAUGGGGACGCAAAGCCAUAGGGUCUAAGGUGCUUUACUGCGCUAUGAUAGCCUGGCUGCCAAA